rnacentral:rRNA from 1 species
CACUUCGGUGGUACUCGAGCGGCGAACGGGUGAGUAACACGUGAGUAAUCUGCCCUUGGCUUUGGGAUAGCCACCGGAAACGGUGAUUAAUACCGAAUAUGACCACUUCACGCAUGUGAUGGUGGUGGAAAGUUUUUCGGCCAGGGAUGUGCUCGCGGCCUAUCAGCUUGAUGGUGAGGUAAUGGCUCACCAUGGCUUCGACGGGUAGCCGGCCUGAGAGGGUGACCGGUCACACUGGGACUGAGACACGGCCCAGACUCCUACGGGAGGCAGCAGUGGGGAAUAUUGGACAAUGGGCGGAAGCCUGAUCCAGCAACGCCGCGUGAGGGAUGACGGCCUUCGGGUUGUAAACCUCUUUCGGUGGGGACGAAGCGCAAGUGACGGUACCCACUAAAGAAGCACCGGCCAACUACGUGCCAGCAGCCGCGGUAAUACGUAGGGUGCGAGCGUUGUCCGGAAUUAUUGGGCGUAAAGGGCUCGUAGGCGGUUUGUCGCGUCGGGAGUGAAAACGCCGUGCUUAACACGGCGCUUGCUUUCGAUACGGGCAGACUAGAGGUAUUCAGGGGAGAACGGAAUUCCUGGUGUAGCGGUGAAAUGCGCAGAUAUCAGGAGGAACACCGGUGGCGAAGGCGGUUCUCUGGGAAUGACCUGACGCUGAGGAGCGAAAGUGUGGGGAGCGAACAGGAUUAGAUACCCUGGUAGUCCACACCGUAAACGUUGGGCGCUAGGUGUGGGGUCCA